CCUACGGGAGGCAGCAGUAGGGAAUAUUGGGCAAUGGAGGCAACUCUGACCCAGCCAUGCCGCGUGCAGGAAGAAGGCGUUAUGCGUUGUAAACUGCUUUUAUAUAGGAAGAAAUAGACCUUGCGAGGUAAGUUGACGGUACUAUAUGAAUAAGCACCGGCUAACUCCGUGCCGGCAGCCGCGGUAAUACGGAGGGUGCAAGCGUUGUCCGGAUUUAUUGGGUUUAAAGGGUGCGUAGGCGGUUUAUUAAGUCAGUGGUGAAAGACGGUCGCUCAACGAUUGCAGUGCCAUUGGUACUGGUAGACUUGAGUGGGAUUGAGGUAGCUGGAAUGGAUAGUGUAGCGGUGAAAUGCAUAGAUAUUAUCCAGAACACCAAUUGCGUAGGCAAGUUACUAAGUCUCAACUGACGCUGAGGCACGAAAGUGUGGGUAUCAAACAGGAUUAGAUACCCUGGUAGUCCACACUGUAAACGAUGAUAACUAACUGUUGGCUUUCGGGUCAGUGGUACAGAGAAAUCGUUAAGUUAUCCACCUGGGGAGUACGCCGGCAACGGUUGAAACUUAAAGGAAUUGACGGNGNGAGAGNGCGAGACGACGACGAGGAGGAGG
rnacentral:rRNA from 1 species